rnacentral:rRNA from 1 species
UGCGUAGGUGGUUUCUUAAGUCAGAGGUGAAAGGCUACGGCUCAACCGUAGUAAGCCUUUGAAACUGAGAAACUUGAGUGCAGGAGAGGAGAGUAGAAUUCCUAGUGUAGCGGUGAAAUGCGUAGAUAUUAGGAGGAAUACCAGUUGUGAAGGCGGCUCUCUGGACUGUAACUGACACUGAGGCACGAAAGCGCGGGGAGCAAACA